UGGACAAGUGGUGGCAUUACCACCCA
rnacentral:piRNA from 1 species